rnacentral:rRNA from 2 species
AGUUGCGAUCUUACCAGCACUAAUGCACAAGAUCCCAUCACAACUCCACAGUUAAGCGUGCUUGGGCGUGAGUAAUACUUCGAUGGGUGACCUCUUGGGAUGUCCUCGUGUUGCACCUC